rnacentral:rRNA from 1 species
UACGUAGGGGGCAAGCGUUGUCCGGAUUUAUUGGGCGUAAAGCGCGUGUAGGCGGCCAGGUAGGUCCGCUGUGAAAACCCGAGGCUCAACCUCGGGACGUCGGCGGAAACCAUUUGGCUAGAGUCCGGAAGAGGGGAGUGGAAUUCCCGGUGUAGCGGUGAAAUGCGCAGAUAUCGGGAAGAACACCAAUGGCGAAAGCAGCUCUCUGGGACGGUACUGACGCUGAGACGCGAAAGCGUGGGGAGCGAACAGG